rnacentral:rRNA from 1 species
GUCGAGCGGCGGACGGGUGAGUAAUGCCUAGGAAAUUGCCCUGAUGUGGGGGAUAACCAUUGGAAACGAUGGCUAAUACCGCAUGAUGCCUACGGGCCAAAGAGGGGGACCUUCGGGCCUCUCGCGUCAGGAUAUGCCUAGGUGGGAUUAGCUAGUUGGUGAGGUAAGGGCUCACCAAGGCGACGAUCCCUAGCUGGUCUGAGAGGAUGAUCAGCCACACUGGAACUGAGACACGGUCCAGACUCCUACGGGAGGCAGCAGUGGGGAAUAUUGCACAAUGGGCGCAAGCCUGAUGCAGCCAUGCCGCGUGUGUGAAGAAGGCCUUCGGGUUGUAAAGCACUUUCAGUCGUGAGGAAGGUGGUGUAGUUAAUAGCUGCAUUAUUUGACGUUAGCGACAGAAGAAGCACCGGCUAACUCCGUGCCAGCAGCCGCGGUAAUACGGAGGGUGCGAGCGUUAAUCGGAAUUACUGGGCGUAAAGCGCAUGCAGGUGGUUUGUUAAGUCAGAUGUGAAAGCCCGGGGCUCAACCUCGGAAUAGCAUUUGAAACUGGCAGACUAGAGUACUGUAGAGGGGGGUAGAAUUUCAGGUGUAGCGGUGAAAUGCGUAGAGAUCUGAAGGAAUACCGGUGGCGAAGGCGGCCCCCUGGACAGAUACUGACACUCAGAUGCGAAAGCGUGGGGAGCAAACAGGAUUAGAUACCCUGGUAGUCCACGCCGUAAACGAUGUCUACUUGGAGGUUGUGGCCUUGAGCCGUGGCUUUCGGAGCUAACGCGUUAAGUAGACCGCCUGGGGAGUACGGUCGCAAGAUUAAAACUCAAAUGAAUUGACGGGGGCCCGCACAAGCGGUGGAGCAUGUGGUUUAAUUCGAUGCAACGCGAAGAACCUUACCUACUCUUGACAUCCAGAGAACUUUCCAGAGAUGGAUUGGUGCCUUCGGGAACUCUGAGACAGGUGCUGCAUGGCUGUCGUCAGCUCGUGUUGUGAAAUGUUGGGUUAAGUCCCGCAACGAGCGCAACCCUUAUCCUUGUUUGCCAGCGAGUAAUGUCGGGAACUCCAGGGAGACUGCCGGUGAUAAACCGGAGGAAGGUGGGGACGACGUCAAGUCAUCAUGGCCCUUACGAGUAGGGCUACACACGUGCUACAAUGGCGCAUACAGAGGGCGGCCAACUUGCGAAAGUGAGCGAAUCCCAAAAAGUGCGUCGUAGUCCGGAUUGGAGUCUGCAACUCGACUCCAUGAAGUCGGAAUCGCUAGUAAUCGUGGAUCAGAAUGCCACGGUGAAUACGUUCCCGGGCCUUGUACACACCGCCCGUCACACCAUGGGAGUGGGCUGC